CUGGCCGUAAACGAUGAACACUAGAUGUUGGGGGAAUCGACCCCUCCGGUGUCGUAGCUAACGCGUUAAGUGUUCCGCCUGGGGAGUACGCACGCAAGUGUGAAACUCAAAGGAAUUGACGGGGGCCCGCACAAGCGGUGGAGUAUGUGGUUUAAUUCGAUGCAACGCGAAGAACCUUACCAAGGCUUGACAUCCUGCGAAUCUCCAAGAAAUUGGAGAGUGCCUUCGGGAACGCAGUGACAGGUGGUGCAUGGCUGUCGUCAGCUCGUGUCGUGAGAUGUUGGGUUAAGUCCCGCAACGAGCGCAACCCACGUUUUUAGUUGCCAGCAUUCAGUUGGGCACUCUAGAAAGACUGCCGGUGACAAACCGGAGGAAGGUGUGGACGACGUCAAGUCAUCAUGCCCCUUACGCCUUGGGCUACACACGUACUACAAUGCUGCGGACAAAGAGUAGCGAUCUUGCGAAAGUUAGCUAAUCUCGUAAACCGUGGCUCAGUUCAGAUCGUAGGCUGCAACUCGCCUACGUGAAGGAGGAAUCGCUAGUAAUCGCAGGUCAGCAUACUGCGGUGAGUACGUUCCCGGGCCUUGUACACACCGCCCGUCACACCAUGGAAGUUGGCCAUGCCCGAAGUCGUUACUCUAACCUUUUGGAAGAGGGCGCCGAAGGCAGGGCUAAUGACUGGGGUGAAGUCGUAACAAGGUAGCCGUAGCGGAAGCUGCGGCUGGAUCACCUCCUAA
rnacentral:rRNA from 1 species